GCAACGUUGAACUAUGACGCGUGUAGUCACGUGAUCUCACAACCCGGAAGUGAAGCAGUGGCUCCGGUUUCUCCAACUGCAGGAAGCGAGCAGUUUCCCUGAAGCCAUGAGUCUGUGUGCGCUGGACGAGCAGAGCUUCCGUCUGUGUUGUCGGCUCCUCCUGCAGCAGUCGGAGGAGCUGAACGACGGCUGGAGCUGGGAGAGCGUGCAGGGUUCAGAGGAGGGCUACUUGAAGAAGACUGCUCUCAGGUCAGUCAUCAUGGACUCGAGCAGAGUGUGGGACCUGGACGGAUUAAAUUCAGACUCAGAAACACACAGCUCCUGUCAGGAGCAGGAACAGUCAGCCCCUGCUUCCAUUGAUGAUGCUGAAGAUGUUAAAGGGGAUAUGGAAGAUGAUGAAGACGAUGAUGGUGUCUGUGCAGAGUCUGCAGGAAGUAUCCAGGCGCUUCAAUACGAGUAUCACGUCCUGUUCUCCUGCAGCUACGGAGCUCCUGUGCUUUAUUUCAGAGCCUGCACUCUAGAGGGGAGGAGCCUAUCCAUGGAGGAGGUGUGGAGCUCUGUCCAUCCCAACUUUAGACUUGGACUUCAGCGCAGUCCUCUGAACACGAUCACUCUGCAGGAGCACCCCCUGCUGGGUCAGCCUUUCUUCAUGCUCCACCCCUGCAGAACAGAGGACUUUAUGAGGCCUGUGCUGCAGGCGGCCCAGCACCAACACAGGCCAGUGAACUACGUGCUGACGUGGCUCAGUGUGGUGGGACCUCUGGUGGGCAUUGAGGUCCCUCUGAAGUACUGCACCCUGCUCCAUCCUGCCGCCUCACCAGACUGAAGCUACACCUGCUCUGUUUCCCUCUCUGUCAGCGUUCAGCCUCUGGAGCUAAAUGUUGUUAGCUACAUGCUGAAAGUUCAAGCUUAACAUAGAUGGCUUCCUUGAACCCUCUUUCAUACCAAUGCUUGUCUCCGUCCAGGAUCUGAACCUUGCUGUCCUCAAAGGAGUGUCCCUUUUCCUUGAGGUGCAGAUGUACGGCUGAGUCCUGGCCUUAGGAGCUGGCUCUUCUGUGUUGGGCCAGGCUGUGGAGCGGUUGUUUAGUUUCACCAAUGUACCGUUCCCUGCAGUCUUCAUUACACUGUAUGGCAUAAACUACAUUACUCCUUUUGUGCUGAGGUGUUUUGCCCCCAGUCUGGUCAGAACUGAAGAAGCCUUUCGGAGGAGAGGUGGAACGUCUUCAAGAAUUUCGACCAGUCCAGUUGCCUUACGGAUCAAGCUUUGGAUUCCCAUGACCUGGAUGACUGAGAACCUUCACAGACAUGUUUGACAUGGAGAGCUUUCAAUUCUUAUUCCCACAUAGAGUAAAGAGCAAAAAGCUUCAUGAGACUCAACAUUAUGGUAAUUGUGAAAAGGGAACAGUGAGAGUAAAAUCUAUGAAUGGGGCCCAGAUAGUCAGGAAUUUCUGGUUCUGUUGUACCUGAAUUUAACUUGAGGGGGGGGGCAGAGAUAUUUGUGUUGUCGUUUGGAACUCCAAAAGCAGCCAGGAUUGGAUCAGGUUCAAUGGUCCUUUGGCAAAUAUCUGAAAAAAGCUUUAAAAAUGUCAUUCCAGAACGAACGCAAAGACGUGCAAUCCCAGAACAUGUUCCCAGUUGUAGCUAGGUCGAGCUGGCAUCUAGUGCAAAUGGGAUCUGUAUGGGGAUAGAGUUUAUUAGAACGGUCCUAUUAGUGUGAAUGUUACUAUUUCCACCGCCGUGCAAUGAAGAACCUGCUUACACAUACUGCAUACAUAUACUGUAGAUUAUGGCUGAUAUAAUACAAUUAUAUCAAAGAGGGGAAUUGAAGGAUACACACACACACACACACAUUGUUUGAUUCAUACAGGAACAAACGCAUGGGCUGAAGGUUGUUAUAGCUCACGAUAGAGAUGAACUGGUCCUGAACCUGUCUGGACUGGAGUCAGAGACUGCCAACCUUAAAGUCCAACCCCUUGUACGGGGUGCAGCCCAGGAAGAUAAAUGUUCAUCUUUUCUGUAUAUCAGGGCUCACUCCCUCUGAGCCCUCAGCUGAGCACAUGCUUUACCUGAGACCAGAAUAAACUCUGUGAA